rnacentral:rRNA from 1 species
GACGAACGCUGGCGGCGUGCCUAAUGCAUGCAAGUCGCACGGGCGGCCUUCGGGUCGUCAGUGGCGCACGGCUGAGGAACACGUGGGUAUCUGCCCGUCCGUGGGGGACAACGUGCCGAAAGGCACGCUAAUCCCGCAUACGCUCUGCGGAGGAAAGUCGCUUCGGCGGCGCGGACGGAGGAGCCUGCGGCCCAUCAGGUGGUUGGCGGGGUAACGGCCCACCAAGCCGAUGACGGGUCGCUGGUCUGGGAGGAUGACCAGCCAGACUGGGACUGAGACACGGCCCAGACUCCUACGGGAGGCAGCAGCAAGGAAUUUUCGGCAAUGGGCGCAAGCCUGACCGAGCAACGCCGCGUGGUGGAUGACGGCCUUCGGGUUGUAAACACCUUUGGGGGGGGAUGACACCCGACCGUACCCCCCGAACAAGCCCCGGCUAACUCUGUG